GAAAUUGCAUAAAAGGAACCUCAUAUAGGACGGGAAUACGGCCCGUUCGUCUCUACCUGGGAACCAUGAAUUCCCGGACUAUGAGGGGAGUCCAAGCAUUC
rnacentral:ncRNA from 2 species